rnacentral:misc_RNA from 1 species
AACGCACAUUGCGCCCGCCAGCAUUCUGGCGGGCAUGCCUGUUCGAGCGUCAUUUCAAACCUCAAGCUCCUUCUUGCUUGGUGUUGGGGCGCUACGGGGGUUACUCGUAGGCCUUCAAAAUUAGUGGCGGGCUCGCUGAAAUCCCGAGCGUAGUAGUUAUAUAAUCUUCCUCGUUCAGGGCUUUUCGGCGGGUUUCUAGCCGUGAAACUCAAUUUUUCCAAGGUUGACCUCGGAUCAGGUAGGAAUACCCGCUGAACUUAA